rnacentral:lncRNA from 1 species
CUCCAAUCUGCCAUUUUCUCUACCUGAGUGAGUCUCUGCUGUCCGGAAUUCUCUGGUUUUCUUCGCAGGCAGUGUUCUGCCCACUGGCCCACCACCUCAGGGGAACGAUGGCCACAGAGUCUACAGCCGCUGCUGCCAUCGCCGCGGAGCUGGUUUCCGCUGACAAGUAAGCGGGACUGUGGCGAGCUUGAGGCCAGUCCUCAGGGAGAGUCCGGGGACUUGGCUUCCCGGGCGGGACGGGCCGUGCGGAGAGGGUUGCUCUGUGGAGAAGCCCUACUUGCGAAGAGCUGGCGCGCCAGCGGUAACGGCGGGUGGCUGGCGCCCCCUGCCCGGCUUUUCACGGCCGCCAUCUUGCCGGGGGCAGCGGUGGCUGGCUCCAUCGCCGGCCCCUUUUUUCCACCCCUUGCCCGAGGUUGCCGGUAGGUAGGCGGGGCCCGGCUCCAGUCGGUCCUUGAGCCCCUCCUGAUCGCGCACUCCUAGGGUGCGUCUCUGUAGAGAGUCUGUAGACGUACCGAGAAAUUGGCCAACAGAUUUGGCGCC